rfam:Schistosoma rodhaini strain Burundi genome assembly, scaffold: SROB_scaffold0007531
AUCCAGCUGACGAGUCCCAAAUAGGACGAAACGCGCGUUAUUCUUAAU